UGGGGAAUUUUGGACAAUGGGGGAAACCCUGAUCCAGCCAUCCCGCGUGUGCGAUGAAGGCCUUCGGGUUGUAAAGCACUUUUGGCAGGAAAGAAACGUCAUGGGUUAAUACCCCGUGAAACUGACGGUACCUGCAGAAUAAGCACCGGCUAACUACGUGCCAGCAGCCGCGGUAAUACGUAGGGUGCAAGCGUUAAUCGGAAUUACUGGGCGUAAAGCGUGCGCAGGCGGUUCGGAAAGAAAGAUGUGAAAUCCCAGAGCUCAACUUUGGAACUUCAUUUUUAACUACCGGGCUAGAGUGUGUCAGAGUGAGGUGGAAUUCCGCGUGUAGCAGUGAAAUGCGUAGAUAUGCGGAGGAACACCGAUGGCGAAGGCAGCCUCCUGGGAUAACACUGACGCUCAUGCACGAAAGCGUGGGGAGCAAACAGG
rnacentral:rRNA from 1 species